rnacentral:lncRNA from 1 species
GGGAAACGCUUGUUGCCGGCCUGCCAGCCAAACGAUUGCGUCGGUCUCAUGCCAAUCAAUUGAUCGUGAUUUGAUCUCAGGCCCACACGUCACUAUGCACACACGUUUUUCUAGUCCACCCACUACUCCAGCCCGUCAAACAUAAUCCUGUUCUCCACAUUGUCUUCUCCAUCAUGUCGAGGGUGUUCUCUCCCUCGUCUUCUCCAUGGUUGCGCUCCCCCCACCCUCCUCCUCGUCAUGGCCAGCGAGCCUCCUCCCCAUCUCCCCUUCCCACUUCAGCCACAGCGGCACACACGAACUCCCCUAGAGACACCGUGAGUUUGUCUUGA